GUAGAAUGGAGAGGAAAAAAGAAAGAGAAAAAUCGAACCUUCUUUUGUUUCUUAAAGAAAAAAAGAGGGCCACCAACAAAGACCUGUUUCCUUUCCCCUUUUGUCAAAUGAAAGCUCUUCAGAGAUGACUGGGCUCUUGUCUGUCUCCGUUUGAAUCCUGUAGGAUGUGACUUCGUGUGGCUUUGCUCUAAGUACACCAAAGCAUCUGAUACUUUUGAAGGUUGAAACCACUUUGUGGCGCUCAAGGGAUGUCUGUGAAGACACCCGAUCCUUGGGAGAAGAGCACCAUACUCUCCUCUCAGUUAGAGCUUGCUUUACAGACACAUGCUGGAUGCCAAUUUAUCAUAGACAUGGCGGGGCCAGGACAUUUGGGAGCAUGUGAAUCAAGUUGCAGAAUUAACCGAAGAAGAAUAUGCAGAUAAUGUACAAUCCCAUCUCCCAGGGAUGCCGGAUUGUUUAUCGCUAGGAGAGCACUGAUGACUGCAUCAGAGACACUUCUGAUUUCUGGUCCUUUCCCUCUCUCUCCCUCUUGCUUCUAGAAACAGUUCUGAAAACCACCUCCUCCACCGUAGUCUGAGAUGACCACAGACUGGACAGAAGAACAGACACCAAACUUGUUUAUCCAUGUCUUCAAAGAUGAACACAAAUACAAGAUCACUACUCAACACAUGUUAAGCUCGCCUCCUGAUUCACUUGGAUGUGAUGGAUAGCUUUGAAUGAGAGCACCUGAGCGUGCUGUAAAGGGCUUAAUUAAAACCAGCAAAAUCGUCAACGCCUGUUCCUUAGGUGAGAUCGGAUACCAGGCCUGCAUUGAUCUGGAGCAGCGCUGUGCUAAAGUCCUCCUUAGGAAAAAAUCGGUAAUACUGAUUUUGUGCUUAAAAUCUUUGAGUUGUAUUUACUAGGCAUUUUGGGCAUUAAUUUUGAUUAAAAAAAAAAACCCACUGUUUUAAUAUAUAGUUUGAUGACUUGGUGGGGUGCCUCUU
ensembl:lncRNA